GAGAAAUAUUUCCCCUGACAAUAUUUCAGGAAACAAGUAUCCGUAUUUUCUGUCAACUGUCUACAAACAGAACUAGCAAUACCUGAUUCAACAAUGAGUCGGUUCUGUUUAACGAAUCGGUUAAACUACCUGAAUCAGUUCCCGAGUCAUUCGAAAAGGUCACUCGUCACCACACCGUUGUUUGGAGUGUUUCUCAGUCGAUCAUAAAAUGAUAACAGCAAAAAUGACGCCACAAACAAGAAGCACUGGACUAAGUGGAUAUUUACCUACAACCAAACUACAUCCGUUUGUCACCGAUGAAGAACGUUUACACAAACACCUGUGCGUGCAGCAUGUCAACCCAUCCGCAGAGAAUAACAACCCGUCCAGCAGAGAAUAACAAAACACUAGCGCUAUAGAAAAGCACUUUAACCGUACGUUAACAUGGCGGAUGCACUCAGACCACCACAUGCCCAGGUGACAGCGAGGACAUGAGGCUGGACUCUCUCUCUGUGCAUAGAAGCGUGUCGAGAAGCUUCAGAGGGUUAUGGCAAGCUCCUGCCAGGAAAGGCUGGCUUUGGUUCCAGGAGCCAGUCCCCAGAUGCCCAGAGCGAAGAGGGCAGGGUGCCUCAUCUGCUGUGCAGAGAAUACAAAUAGUCAAAUUUGACGGUGAAAUCCUGUGAAGCAAGUCCUUUUCUUGUUCUGUGCAGAACGUGCAGGGCAGGCUCACAGACAGCGGGGAGCUAAGAUGGGGCCAUGUUCCCUGGCAGAGUUCCAUACACAGAUCACCCUCCCACUGGAACGCCUGAUUCCAGUUCAGCCCUUUACAAGACAUGCCAGGACCCUUUGUGUGCCAGGCUGGGCUGGGUAAGAGCAAAUCUACCUCUUGAAAACCAUAGCUGCUUCUUCAACAGACCAUCAUUGAGCCUUCGCAACAUUGCCUUAUACAUGC
ensembl:lncRNA